UACGAAGGGGGCGAGCGUUGUUCGGAUUUACUGGGCGUAAAGGGCGCGCAGGCGGCUCAUUUUGUCAGGCGUGAAAGCCCCGGGCUUAACCUGGGAACUGCGUUUGAUACGGAUGGGCUAGAGUUCGGGAGAGGAGAGUGGAAUUCCCAGUGUAGAGGUGAAAUUCGUAGAUAUUAGGAAGGACCCCGGUGGCGAAGGCGGCCCACUGGUCCGGUACUGGCGCUGAGGUGCGAAAGCGGGGGGAGCAAACAGG
rnacentral:rRNA from 1 species